GGCACGGUAGUGCAGUGGUUAGCACUGCUGCCUCACAAGAAGGAGGUUCCGGGUUUGAAUCCCGGCCGGCCA
rnacentral:tRNA from 1 species